rnacentral:rRNA from 1 species
GACGAACGCUGGCGGCGUGCUUAACACAUGCAAGUCGAACGGAAAGGCCCUGCUUUUGUGGGGUGCUCGAGGGGCGAACGGGUGAGUAACACGUGAGUAACCUGCCCUUGACUUUGGGAUAACUUCAGGAAACUGGGGAUAAUACCGGAUAGGAGCUCCUGCUGCAUGGUGGGGGUUGGAAAGUUUCGGCGGGUGGGGAUGGACUCGCGGCUUAUCAGCUUGUUGGGGGGGUGUUGCCUUACCAAGGCAUUGGCGGUUAGCCGGCCUGAGAGGGUGACCGGCCACAUUGGGACUGAGAUACGGCCCAGCCCCCUCCGGGAGGCAGCAUUGGGGAAUAUUGCACAAUGGGCGGAAGCCUGAUGCAGCAACGCCGCUGGCGGGAUGACGGCCUUCGGUUGGUAAACCGCUUUCGCCUGUGCCGAAGCUUGAGUGACGGUAAUUGGUAAAGAAGCACCGGCUAACUACGUG